CCUACGUGGGGCUGCAGUGAGGAAUAUUGGUCAAUGGCCGGAAGGCUGAACCAGCCAAGCCGCGUGAGGGAGGAAGGCGCAGAGCGUCGCAGACCUCUUUUGCCGGGGGAAAAAAGGCCGGAAUCGUCCGGUCCUGAGGGUACCCGGAGAAAAAGCAUCGGCUAACUCCGUGCCAGCAGCCCCGGUAAUACGGAGGAUGCGAUCGUUAUCCGGAUUCAUUGGGUGUAAAGGGUGCGCAGGCGGGCCUUUAAACCGGCGGUGAAAUCGCGGGGCUCAACCCCGCCGAGCCGUCGGAACUGGGGGCCUUGUGUGCGGCGGUGGCAUGCGGAAUGCGGUGUGUAGGUGUGAAAUGCA
rnacentral:rRNA from 1 species